GAGGGAUAUUUCCUUGCCAUUAAGCCACAUUCGAUCUUGAUCAAAAGCAGGACUAACAGCAACAGUAGUAGUAGUACAAAGAUGUGCAGGAUCAAGAGUUACACUAAUACUAUCAUUAAUUGCAAGAAUUAGGUUUUCAUCUCUUUUUCCCCAAUAUUUUAUCACAGCAAUGUUAGUGGGUGUUUGUGCUGUUACCAUCAAAACCCAUUUUUG
rnacentral:misc_RNA from 1 species